CCGGAUUGGAGUCUGCAACUCGACUCCAUGAAGUCGGAAUCGCUAGUAAUCGUGGAUCAGAAUGCCACGGUGAAUACGUUCCCGGGCCUUGUACACACCGCCCGUCACACCAUGGGAGUGGGCUGCAAAAGAAGUAGGUAGUUUAACCUUCGGGGGGACGCUUACCACUUUGUGGUUCAUGACUGGGGUGAAGUCGUAACAAGGUAGCGCUAGGGGAACCUGGCG
rnacentral:rRNA from 1 species